CCUACGGGAGGCAGCAGUGGGGAAUAUUGGGCAAUGGGCGCAAGCCUGACCCAGCAAUGCCGCGUGAAGGAAGAAGGCUUUCGGGUUGUAAACCUCUUUUUCAGGGGAAGAGCAGAAGACGGUACCCUGAAAACAAGCCACGGCUAACUACGUGCCAGCAGCCGCGGGAAUACGUAGGUGGCAAGCGUUGUCCGGAUGUACUGGGUGUAAAGGGCGUGUAGCCGGGAAGGCAAGUCAGAUGUGAAAUCUGGAGGCUCAACCUCCAAAGUGCAUUUGAAACUGUUGUUCUUGAGUACUGGAGAGGCAGGCGGAAUUCCUUGUGUAGCGGUGAAAUGCGUAGAUAUAAGGAAGAACACCAGUGGCGAAGGCGGUCUGCUGGACAGCAACUGACGGUGAGGCGCGAAAGCGUGGGGAGCAAACAGGAUUAGAUACCCUAGUAGUC
rnacentral:rRNA from 1 species